CUUAGCCGGCCUUAGCGCGGUGGUCCCACCUGACCCCAUGCCGAACUCAGAAGUGAAACGCCGUAGCGCCGAUGGUAGUGUGGGGUCUCCCCAUGCGAGAGUAGGGAACUGCCAGGC
rnacentral:rRNA from 1 species